UUUCCCAAUAUUUUACCUCCUCUGAAAAACAAUUAUUAGGAAUAUUAUAAGAUUUGGGGUUAAUUAGUACCUAAGGAAUACUAUCUCAGGGUUUGAGGCCUAGUUUGGAACUUGGAGCCAGAGUUCAUCCUGGAAUUCUGAGGGAGUGAUAAGGGUUGGUUUUCCAACUGUCAGAGUCUGGAAGUUGACCCUGGCUCUGGAGGCUGGUGGUUUGUUGGCUCUCUGGGAUUUUUCCUUGGAAACCUUGGGAAUACCAGAUUGACAGUUUGGAAGACAGAAAAAAUCAAGAGUAGUGUGAAUAUCAGAUCAAUGCCCAGGAGAUUGAGAAUACAAGCCAAAUUCAAAAUAAAACCCUUAGACAUCCUACAAAAGGGAUCUAAAGAACUGAAUUUAGGUGUCAUAUCAUCUGCCUGUAGCUGAUGUUUUACUGCUUCAGAUUCCUCUUCAAGGCCACUUACAACUUUACAAAUGAGGUCAAAAACUACCUGCUGCACAAUAUCAUCUGCCGAAUCUUCCUUUAGAGUCUGAGAAUUAUCUGGAACAUUCAUAUUGUCAGUUUCUGCAUCAUAGCUCAAGUUGUCUCCACCAGAAGACUGAGAACAACCUGAAUCUGAACUUUGAAGUAUUUCUAACUGUUGAUCUGGAAGGUCAAAAUCAGAUACAACCAUUGGAAUUGUCUCACUACUAGUACUUAAAAGAGAAAGUCUGUCACUUAGAGGAUUGACUGUAAGACUGAAGUUCUCCAUUUCAUCCAUCACAAGCUGUUUCUCACUGCUUCCUUUACUUGUAAUGAGUUGUACUUGGUUUGUAGGCAUAUGGGAAAAUGCUUUAAAAGAAGGGAAAAAAAAGCAGAAACUAUAUUAGAAUAUUUUCCAAAAUACUUUUCUUCCUUUAGAAUGAUAACUAAUGUCAACAUCUGUAAGACUUUACAAGAAGAUGACUUAAUUAUUAAAACUGUUUCCUUUCAAAUGAAUUAUACUUUUAUUUGCAUCAUGUAUAGUUAUAUAAGUAUAUAAACAUAUAUUUGUAUAUAUGUUUAUAUACAUAUAUAUUUAUAUAUAGGCACAGAAAGGAAAAGUUAAGUGGACAAAAAACCAGAAUUUGGUCACAAAAACUUUCUACCCUUUUUACUGAAGCUUUGAGGUAUAGAAAUUUGAGGUAAAUUAGCUUUUACAGAAUGUAUAUGUAAUACAUGUAGGCCUUAUAUACAAUUUAUAAGAAAAAUCACUCAAGUCAUAAUACAUAAUUACUCUAUAAUAAGAACAAUCAUUCUAUUACCAAGUUGUGUGUACUUUUUGGCCAGAAUCCUGAAGUAAAUUUUCUGAUCUGUGUCUGUGAAGUGAUAUAGGAUCAGAAUCAAUAUCAGUCUUUUUCACAGCUAUAAUCAGAAAAAUUCUUUAUAUUUAACUUGUCUAACUGAUUUAUGAAUUAGAAAAGCUUUCAUUCUUCAGAGAAUGUCUAAUGCCUGGAUACUUGAGAAUGAGGCAUCCUUCUAAUUACAAUUCUCUAAUAAACAAGAGUGCUUCUGAUGAAGUGUUAUCAA